rfam:Gossypium raimondii Chr06_contig_428, whole genome shotgun sequence.
UAUUAAAAAUUUUAUCCAAUUCUAUUAUUAAAAACUGGCAUGGUAGACAGAAUAAACAAACAGUGACAAGUGAUGCGUCUCAUGCUAACGUACAGAAAUCGGUUUUUAACAAUAGAAAUGAGUAAAUUUUUUAACA